rnacentral:rRNA from 1 species
UAAAAGCUCAAAUUUGAAAUCUGGCUCUUUUAGAGUCCGAAUUGUAAUUUGUAGAAGAUGCUUCGGGUGUGGUUCCGGUCUAAGUUCCUUGGAACAGGACGUCAUAGAGGGUGAGAAUCCCGUAUGUGACUGGAUACCUAUGCUCAUGUGAAGCUCUUUCGACGAGUCGAGUUGUUUGGGAAUGCAGCUCAAAAUGGGAGGUAUAUUUCUUCUAAAGCUAAAUAUUGGCCAGAGACCGAUAGCGCACAAGUAGAGUGAUCGAAAGAUGAAAAGCACUUUGGAAAGAGAGUUAAACAGUACGUGAAAUUGUUGAAAGGGAAGCGCUUGCAAUCAGACUUGCACUUGGUGUUCAUCAGGGUCUCGUACCCUGUGUACUUCAUCAAGUUCAGGCCAGCAUCAGUUUGAGUGGUUAGAUAAAGGCUUAGAGAAUGUGGCCCUCUUCGGGGGGUGUUAUAGCUCUAGGUGCAAUGUAGCCUACUUGGACUGA